rnacentral:rRNA from 1 species
AAUUCUUGGACCGUAGCAAGACGGACUACAGCGAAAGCAUUUGGCAAGAAUGUCUUCAUUAAUCAAGAACGAAAGUCAGAGGUUCGAAGGCGAUCAGAUACCGCCCUAGUUCUGACCGUAAACGAUGCCAACUAGCGAUCCGCCGGCGGAUUUAUUCGCCCUGGUGGGGAGCUUCCCGGAAACGAAAGUCUUCCGGUUCCGGGGGAAGUAUGGUUGCAAAGCUGAAACUUAAAGGAAUUGACGGAAGGGCACCACCAGGAGUGGAGCCUGCGGCUUAAUUUGACUCAACACGGGGAAACUCACCCGGCCCGGACACCGUAAGGAUUGACAGAUUGAUAGCUUUUUCAUGAUUCGGUGGAUGGUGGUGCAUGGCCGUUCUUAGUUCGUGGAGCGAUUUGUCUGGUUUAUUCCGAUAACGAGCGAGACUCUGGCCUACUAAAUAGUUGGCUCAUUGCUUCUGUGGGCACAACUUCUUAGAGGGAUUUUCGGUGUUCAGCCGCACGAAAUUGAGCAAUAACAGGUCUGUGAUGCCCUUAGAUGUCCGGGGCUGCACGCGCGCUACACUGGCAAAAUCAGCGUGCUUGUCCUUCCCCGAAAGGGGUUGGUAAACCGGUGAAAAUUUGCCGUGAUUGGGAUCGGACAUUGCAAUUAUUGUCCGUGAACGAGGAAUUCCUUGUAGGGGCGAGUCAUCAACUCGCUCUGAAUACGUCCCUGCCCUUUGUACACACCGCCCGUCGCUGCCCGGGACUGAGCCAUUUCGAGAAAUUCGGGGACGGUUAGUGUGCCGGCUUCGGCCGACGCACGGACUGGAACCGAUUUAAUCGCAGUGGCUUGAACCGGGCAAAGU